rnacentral:lncRNA from 12 species
CCCCCCCCCCCCCCCCCCCCCCCCCCCCCCCCCCCCCCCCCCCCCCCCCCCCCCCCCCCCCCCCCCCCUCACCUGGGGACAGGUAACAUCACCUGGGUGCAGGUAACACCACCUGGGCACAGGUAACACCACCUGGGCACAGGUAAAAUCACCUGUGUGCCACGCACAGGUACGGCCGCUCACCUGGGGACAGGUAACAUCACCUGUGCACAGGUACGGUCACCUGUGCACAGGUACGGCCGCUCACCUGGGGACAGGUAACAUCACCUGUGCACAGGUACGGCCUCACCUGGGGACAGGUAACAUCACCUGGGUGCAGGUAACACCACCUGGGCACAGGUAACACCACCUGGGCACAGGUAAAAUCACCUGUGUGCCACGCACAGGUACGGCCGCUCACCUGGGGACAGGUAACAUCACCUGUGCACAGGUACGGCCUCACCUGGGGACAGGUAACAUGCACAGGUACGGCCCCUCACCUGGGGACAGGUAACAUCACCUGGGCCCAGGUAAAGUCACCUGUGCACAGGUAAAGCUGCUCACCUGUGACCCCCUCACUUGCACACAGGUACAACUCACCUGUACGGGCAAUAUCCCCUCACCUGUGCUCACCUGUCCAGGCACACCUGUGCUCACCUGUACAGGUACAACCCUCACCUGCGACCCCUCACCUGUACAGGUAACAUCCCCUCACCUGUCCAGGUAACACCUGCACUCACCUGUGACCCCCUCACUGACAGGUACCGCUCACCUGAACAGGUACAACCCUCACCUGAGACCCCUCACCUGUACAGGUACAACCCUCACCUGCGACCCCUCACCUGUACAGGUAACAUCCCCUCACCUGUCCAGGUAACACCUGCACUCACCUGUGACCCCCUCACUGACAGGUACCGCUCACCUGAACAGGUACAACCCUCACCUGAGACCCCUCACCUGUACAGGUACAACCUUCACCUGUGACCCCUCACCUGUCCCACCUGUGCUCACCUGUACAGACACACCUGUGCUCACCCGUACACAGGUAACAGCCCUCACCUGUACAGGUACAACCCUCACCUGUGACCCCUCACCUGUCCAGGUAACACCCCCGCUCACCUGUGUGCACCCUCAGGUGGUUCCUCAGGUCCUUCCUCUCGGCGUAGGACUUGGGGCAGGUGCCGCACCUGUGCGGCCGCAGCCCCGCGUGGCCCCGCAGGUGCUUGCGGAACACCGAGGGGU